UGUCAACCUACGGAACCAGUUCUAUGCUGUGCUUGACCAACAUACACCUGGACUGGUGGCCUUGUAUACCCUUACGAAAAAGAAGUUUAUUCAAGUGUGCUAUUAGUAUACUUCUUUUAAACAAAAAAUAGGAAAGUAUGCUUUUAGUUUACUUUUUAUGUACUUCUCAGAAAUGGGCUUUAUGUACUUCUCAGAAAUAUACUUAAAAUGACAUUUAAGUAUACUUGACUUAUACUUACAAAAAGUCUAAAUAUACUUGAACUAUACUUAAGUAUACUUAAUAAAAUAAACUUGAAGUAUACUACUUUUUGGUAAGGGUAGGCAGAAGGCAGCACGAACCGAAAAGAUAUCAGAGGCGCUGCGUGACAUCUUAAAGAUUUAUGAACUCCAGGAAGUGCACAAUGUCAAUAUGAAGCGUACUUUAGCCCUUCGUGCCCUCCCGGUAUACCUGCGUGAGGAGGACCCACAGUUCUUCAAGACUUGGAAUGUGGAGUCGUCAGAUGAGCCAGGCAUCAUGCCUUGCAUUUGGACUAUCCCAAGAAACUCAUUCACACUUUUACAUUCAUCCAGAAAAUCCUAAUGGGUCUUGAUGAUGGUAAACCACUUAAACCCUGCCUACUGAGUCUCAAAAAUGACCUGUUAAUGAAAUAGUAGGCUAACUUAAGAGUUGUGUUUACAAGAAAAUACACAUGUAUUUCCUUGUCUGCAUGUUCAUGUGUUUUCGGGGUUCCCAGUAUGGUCACUUUAUAGUAUGUUGUUGAACACCAUGUUAGUCAAAGCAUUUGAAACUGUUUACAUUUGGCGGAUUAUGUCUUGCACACCAAAUCUAACGAAGAUGCUGUUGUUUAUACUUAUCGGUUGUACACCAACUUGGUGCUCUGAAUCCUAAAAUUACGUGAAAUGUGCCUUUUUAUAUUUCGUUUUUAUAGGUUUUUACAAACAGGAUAGAUUUGAUGUCUUGAUUUCGUGUUUUGAUACGUGUGUUUUUUUAUUUACUUUUUUUUUUUUUAAUUCCAUUUAGACUUUGAUGGUCAUAGCUGUUACUAAUGCUAUUUUAAGAAAUCAGGCCAUACGUUUUAUAUUAAGCACUUUAAGAUGCUCAGUUCCUGAUUAUCUUGUUCCUGUUUGAUGUAGAGAUACAUAUGUAUACACACACACAGACAAAUGCACAACCAUACACUAAGUGAGUUAAACAAGAUGUUAGUUAUAUUGUAGCUUGAGCAGAGGUGUUUAAUUGUGCUAUGUAGAUUUUCAUUCCAACUAAUUACUUCACCAGGUAAUUUCACUGGUUAACACACAAGUAGGUGGUGAAACUAGUAUGUGACUUGAGUCACUUAGCGGAUCAUGGCAAAUGGUUAGACACCUCUGAGCUAGAAUUCAUUACAAAAUGAAUGCUGUUGAUGUUCUGACAUGUUUGUAUAAAACCAUUUAAAGACUGAAUAAAAGAAGAAAGAAAAUGUACAGCUGAAGUAAUUGUUUUAAUAGUUUUAACUUGUAAAUGUCAUUAACUUUUGGGUUAUACAUAAGUAUAACUUUUGAGUUAGUAGAUUUUUAUUUAAUUAAGUACCAAUGGAUCAAAAUAAUUAAGUAUGGAGAAACUAAAAUUGUGGAAGUGUUAAACAAUAUUUUUAAGUUCAG
ensembl:lncRNA